rnacentral:rRNA from 1 species
CCUACGGGGGGCUGCAGUGAGGAAUAUUGGUCAAUGGACGAGAGUCUGAACCAGCCAAGUAGCGUGAAGGAUGACUGCCCUAUGGGUUGUAAACUUCUUUUAUAUGGGAAUAAAACGUUCCACGUGUGGGAUUUUGUAUGUACCAUAUGAAUAAGGCUCGGCUAACUCCGUGCCAGCAGCCGCGGUAAUACGGAGGAUCCGAGCGUUAUCCGGAUUUAUUGGGUUUAAAGGGAGCGUAGGUGGAUUGUUAAGUCAGUUGUGAAAGUUUGCGGCUCAACCGUAAAAUUGCAGUUGAAACUGGCAGUCUUGAGUACAGUAGAGGUGGGCGGAAUUCGUGGUGUAGCGGUGAAAUGCUUAGAUAUCACGAAGAACUCCGAUUGCGAAGGCAGUUCACUGGACUGCAACUGACACUGAGGCUCGAAAGUGUGGGUAUCAAACAGGAUUAGAUACCCGGGUAGUC